AACCCUAAAAAAGAUAGUCACUACUCAUUUCUUCAAAACCUCAAAACCCCAGACCCCUGGCAGCUGAGCUUCUGAAUCGAAAAGCCAUGGCCGCCAUAGCAGCUAGAUUAGCCGUCCGAUCUGCCCGGAGCUCUGCCUCGAGAUUCGCGUCCGGCAUAAAACCCAAAUCAGCCCCUUCCCCCUUUCGCUUACCCUCCCUUAAACCCCCUUCUCCUCCUCGCAUUUUAAGGUCGCCAGUUGAGAUGAGCUUUGCUUUGGAAUCGAUGCUUCCGUUUCAUACCGCCACUUCUUCUGCAUUGCUCACUUCCAUGCUCUCUGUUUCUCCUCGCACCCUUGGUUGGACUAUUGAAGAUUUAUAGCUUGGGCAGGAUAGCACAUCUGGUAAACAACAAUUAAGAUUGCAACGAUGAUGUAUGAUGAAGGAUGAAGGGUUCGGGCAAAGUUGUUCCUGAUAUUGCAUGCUGCCAAGCUAAAGUGUCUUACGAAAGAAACUUAAAUAGAUGGAUGACGAUUUAUUUACUGCGAGUUGGUGCAUUGGUCGUAGCCCCCUCAUGUUAAAGACACUAUAGAACUACAGGCACGUGUUUGUGUUUGGAAUUCUUUGUUUAAAUGUAUACUUUAGAUGAAAUAAUCAAGAAUCUCUCUUUUGUUGGCAAUGAUUUUAAAAUUACUUUCUGGGUU